rnacentral:rRNA from 1 species
UACGAAGGGGGCUAGCGUUGCUCGGAAUUACUGGGCGUAAAGGGCGCGUAGGCGGAUAUUUAAGUCGGGGGUGAAAGCCCGGGGCUCAACCCCGGAAUUGCCUUCGAUACUGGAUAUCUUGAGUUCGGGAGAGGUGAGUGGAAUGCCGAGUGUAGAGGUGAAAUUCGUAGAUAUUCGGCGGAACACCAGUGGCGAAGGCGACUCACUGGCCCGAUACUGACGCUGAGGCGCGAAAGCGUGGGGAGCAAACAGG